GACAGAGGGUGCAAACGUUGCUCGGAAUUACUGGGCGUAAAGCGCGUGUAGGUGGAUUGGUGUGUCAGAUGUGAAGUCCCUGGGCUCAACCCAGGAACUGCACCUGAAACUACCAGUCUUGAGUGGUGGAGAGGGAAGUGGAAUUCCUGGUGUAGAGGUGAAAUUCGUAGAUAUCAGGAGGAACACCAGUGGCGAAGGCGGCUUCCUGGACACCAACUGACGCUGAGACGCGAAAGCGUGGGGAGCAAACAGG
rnacentral:rRNA from 1 species